rnacentral:piRNA from 1 species
UCAGAUGCUGAAACUACCUGAUUCUUAGU